AGGGAACUGAAACAUCUAAGUACCUGAAGGAAGAGAAAGAAAUUCGAUUCCGUAAGUAGCGGCGAGCGAACGCGGAUUAGCCCAAACCAAUAAAGUUUUCUUUAUUGGGGUUGCGGACAUAUCAUAACGAAGAGGUAUCGUAAUUGAAGAGGUUUGGAAAGACCCACCACAGAAGGUAAUAGUCCUGUAUGUUAAACGAGAAGACUUCAGAUAUGAUCCAGAGUACCACGGGACACGUGAAACCCUGUGGGAAGCAGGAGGGACCACCCUCCAAGGCUAAAUACUACCUAGUGACCGAUAGCGUAUAGUACCGUGAGGGAAAGGUGAAAAGAACCCCGGGAGGGGAGUGAAAUAGAACCUGAAACCCUGCACUUACAAGCUGUGGAAGCACAUUUCUUGUGUGACCGCGUACUUUUUGUAGAACGGGCCAACGAGUUACGUUAAGUAGCAAGGUUAAGCACUUAAGGUGCGGAGCCGUAGCGAAAGCGAGUUUUAACUGAGCGUUCAGUUACUUGACGUAGACCCGAAACCGGGCGACCUACCCAUGAGCAGGAUGAAGCGAAAGUAAAAUUUCGUGGAGGUCCGAACCCACGAGCGUUGAAAAGCUCGGGGAUGACUUGUGGGUAGCGGUGAAAUUCCAAUCGAGCCCGGAGAUAGCUGGUUCUCCCCGAAAUAGCUUUAGGGCUAGCCUCAAGGUGAGAGAUACGGAGGUAGAGCACUGAAUGUCCUAGGGGGUAUUGCACCUACCGAAGACUAUCAAACUCCGAAUGCCGUCAUCUUAUACUUGGGAGUCAGACUGUGGGUGAUAAGAUUCAUAGUCGAAAGGGCAACAGCCCAGAUCGUCAGCUAAGGUCCCUAAAUGUAAGUUAAGUGGUAAAGGAUGUGGGAUUGCACAGACAACCAGGAUGUUGGCUUAGAAGCAGCCACUCAUUCAAAGAGUGCGUAAUAGCUCACUGGUCGAGUGAUCCUGCGCCGAAGAUUUCCGGGGCUAAAACUUACUACCGAAGCUACGGCAUCAGUAAUGAUGGGUAGGGGAGCUUCCCAUACGGGUUGAAGCAUGACCGUAAGGACAUGUGGACAGUAUGGGAGUGAGAAUGUUGGCAUGAGUAGCGAGAUGUGGGUGAGAAUCCCACAGGCCGUAAACCCAAGGUUUCCAGGGGAAGGUUCGUCCGCCCUGGGUUAGUCGGGACCUAAGCUGAGGCCGAAAGGCGUAGGUGAUGGACAACAGGUUGAUAUUCCUGUACUACCGAUAACCGUUUGAGAGAAGGGAUGACACAGUAGGAUAAGCUAAGCACACUGUUGGUUAUGUGUGCCCAAGCAUUGAGGCAGUCAAAGUAGGCAAAUCCGCUUUGAUAAUGCUGGGAUGUGAUGGGGAGCGAAAUUUAGUAGCGAAGUAGCUGAUUUCACACUGUCAAGAAAAGUCUCUAUCGAGGUUAAAGGUACCCGUACCGCAAACCGACACAGGUGGGUGAGGAGAGUAUCCUAAGGCCAGCGAGAGAACUGUUGUUAAGGAACUCGGCAAAAUGACCCCGUAACUUAGGGAUAAGGGGUGCCACCAUCAGGUGGCCGCAGAGAAUAGGCCCAAGCGACUGUUUACCAAAAACAUAGGUUUCUGCUAAGUCGCAAGACGAUGUAUAGGAGCUGACGCCUGCCCGGUGCUGGAAGGUUAAGGGGAUCUGUUAGAGCAAUCGAAGCAGUGAACUUAAGCCCCAGUAAACGGCGGCCGUAACUAUAACGGUCCUAAGGUAGCGAAAUUCCUUGUCGGGUAAGUUCCGACCCGCACGAAAGGCGUAACGAUUUGGGCACUGUCUCAACAACAGACUCGGUGAAAUUGUAAUUCCGGUGAAGAUGCCGGAUACCUGCGACAGGACGGAAAGACCCCAUGGAGCUUUACUGUAGCUUGACAUUGGGUCUUGGUACUACAUGUACAGGAUAGGUGGGAGGCUUUGAAACCAGGACGCCAGUUUUGGCGGAGCCAUCCUUGGGAUACCACCCUUGUAGUACUGGGACUCUAACCAUAGGCCAUGAAUCUGGUCUUGGGACACUGUCAGGUGGGCAGUUUGACUGGGGCGGUCGCCUCCCAAAAGGUAACGGAGGCGCUCAAAGGUUCUCUCAGUACGGUCGGAAAUCGUACGUAGAGUGUAAAGGCAAAAGAGAGCUUGAUUGCAAGACAUACAGGUCGAGCAAGGAUGAAAAUCGGACUUAGUGAUCCGGUGGUUCUGCGUGGAAGGGCCAUCGCUCAACGGAUAAAAGCUACCCUGGGGAUAACAGGCUUAUCUCCCCCAAGAGUCCACAUCGACGGGGAGGUUUGGCACCUCGAUGUCGGCUCAUCACAUCCUGGGGCUGUAGUAGGUCCCAAGGGUUGGGCUGUUCGCCCAUUAAAGUGGUACGCGAGCUGGGUUCAGAACGUCGUGAGACAGUUCGGUCCCUAUCCGUCGCAGGCGUAGGAAAUUUGAGAAGACCUGUCCUUAGUACGAGAGGACCGGGAUGGACG
rnacentral:rRNA from 1 species